rnacentral:rRNA from 1 species
GACAGAGGAUGCAAGCGUUAUCCGGAAUGAUUGGGCGUAAAGCGUCUGUAGGUGGCUUUUUAAGUCCGCCGUCAAAUCCCAGGGCUCAACCCUGGACAGGCGGUGGAAACUACCAAGCUGGAGUACGGUAGGGGCAGAGGGAAUUUCCGGUGGAGCGGUGAAAUGCGUAGAGAUCGGAAAGAACACCAGUGGCGAAGGCGGUCUCCUGGAGCAUACUUGAUGCUGAGGCGCGAAAGCUGGGGGAGCGAACGGG